rnacentral:rRNA from 1 species
CGUGGGUAACCUGCCCAAGAGAUCGGGAUAACACCUGGAAACAGAUGCUAAUACCGGAUAACAACAGAUGAUGCCUAUCAACUGUUUAAAAGAUGGUUCUGCUAUCACUUUUGGAUGGACCUGCGGUGCAUUAGCUAGUUGGUAGGGUAACGGCCUACCAAGGCGAUGAUGCAUAGCCGAGUUGAGAGACUGAUCGGCCACAUUGGGACUGAGACACGGCCCAAACUCCUACGGGAGGCAGCAGGA